GUUCCAAGAGACAAUCCCUAUCUUUUCUCCAGAUUAAAUGCUCUUACUCCAUUAUCUGGCAGUCGAGCUAUGCAUGAAUUGGUUCGAGAAUGCCCGGGACUGCAGAGGCCUGAAAGGAUAACAACAACCUUAUUGAGAAAAUACAUUGCUACAGUGUCACAGAUUCUUGACAUGACUCAUGGUGAACUAAAAUUGCUUGCAAAGCAUCUGGGACAUGAUGUGAAGACACACAAGGAAUAUUAUCAGUUGUCUUCCAGUACCAUGGAACUCUCAAAGGUUGCCCUGAUGUUGUAUGCUGUUGAAAAUGGUAAGUCAAUGAGUGGAAGGGAAGGCAGAUGAAGGACAUAGUAGUAGAAGAUUUACCUCUUCCAAUUGAAGACGAAGAUGGCCAUCAAGAAGAGUCCAUGUCAACUGCUGACAGUGAAGAGCCAGGCAGUCUGACCCAUGAGAGGAGGGAGCCAAGUGAAGAGCCAGCCAGUCUGACCCAUGAUAGGAGGGAGCCAAGUGGAAGAGCCAGCCAGUCUGACCCAUGAGUCCAUGUCAACUGCUGCCAGUGAAGGGCCCAGCCAGUCUGACCCAUGAUGAAAUGAGGCAGCCAAAUCCUCAAGGGACAGGGACAAGAAAAGGAAUGAAACGAAAGUGGGCCAGCGAAGAGAACAUAUGUUUCAUGAACUUUUUUAGAGAUGAAUUAAGAGAAAAAAUAAUGCCAUCUGGCUCAAAAAUAAUGGGGUCCCUAAAAAUACUUACCGGAAGAACAGUGGCCCAGAUAAGGGCAAGGGUCCAUAACAUUAUUAUGAAAAAACAAAAAUGGAAAAAGAAUUGUUGAACUGUGGAAUAUGUUUAUGCCCCUGGUAGGGUGGCAUAUAGCAGUUGAACUGUCCGUCAGUCAGUCAGUCUGUCCAUCUGGCCGAAAACUUAUAUGGCCAUAACUUUUUCAAUAUUGAACAUAGCAACUUGAUAUUUAUACCCCUAUUACAAUUGGUAAUGGGGGCUAUAUAGGAGUCACGUUUGUCGGUCUGUCCCGAUAUUUCAUCCGAUCUUCACCAAACUUGGUCAGUAGUUGUAUGUAGAUAAUGUCUAGGUCAGUUUGAAUAUGGGUCAUGCCAGGUCAAAAACUAGGUCAUGGGGUCACUUAGUAUGUUUUAAACUGUAAGUUUGUACGGACCAUAGCUAUGUCAUUUAUUGUUACAUUUUUAAAUGACUCGGUACAUUUGUUCACCAUCAUGGAACGGUGUGUCGCGUUAAAAAAAAUUACGUCAAUAUCUCAAAGGUCAAGGUCACACUUGGGAGUUCAAAGGUCAAAUGCUUGUCCGGGCCAUAGCUUUGUUUUUUAUUGUGAGAUUUUAAAAUCAUUUGGCACAUUUGUUCACCAUCAUUGAACAGUGUGUCGGGCGAAAGAAUUACGUCGAUAUUUCCAAGAACAAGGGCACAAUUUGAGUUUAAAGGUAAAAAAUGGCCAUAAUUGAGCUUGUCUGGGCAAUAACUAUGUUGUUUAUUGUGCGAUUUUAAAAUCGUUGGCUCUUUUGUUCACCAUCAUUUGACGGUGUGUCGCGCGAAAGAAUUAUGUCGAUAUCUCCAAGGUCAAGUUCGUAGUUUUAGUUCAAAGGUCAAAAAUGGCAAUAAAUUAUCUUGUCUGGGCCAUAAAUAUGUCAUUCAUUGUAAGAUUUUAAAAUGACUGUACAUCAAUUUUGUUCAAAGUCAUUGGAAGGCUUGUCAUGUGAAAGAAUUCAAGAGUUCAAAGGUCAAAAUGGCUAUAAAUGAUAAUGGCAUAAUGAUUCUU